rnacentral:rRNA from 1 species
AUGGACAAGGUGCUGUCCUUCUCCAUCCUGAGCGCGUCGCCGGCAGACAUCGCCCCCGGCGCCAGCAACGGCGGCAGCUGGGCUCGGCUCUCCUGGCGGGGAAGGAAGCUGCAGGAGGACGACCGGGCUGGAGCAGCAGGGAAACAGGGGAAGUAGGGCGUUCUGCCGGCGGAUGCAGAGCAGCAGCCAUGCAAAGGGAAAUCGCAGUCACCGCUGCCGCGGUUCGCGCCGGAGUUUGAUGGGAUCGACUGCUUCGAGACCAUAGUGUGGCAUUGA